GUAGGGGGCAAGCGUUAUCCGGAUUUACUGGGUGUAAAGGGAGCGUAGACGGGAAAUUAAGUUAGUUGUGAAAGCCCUCGGCUUAACUGAGGAAUUGCAACUAAAACUGGUUUUCUUGAGUGCAGGAGAGGUAAGUGGAAUUCCUAGUGUAGCGGUGAAAUGCGUAGAUAUUAGGAGGAACACCAGUGGCGAAGGCGACUUACUGGACUGUAACUGACGUUGAGGCACGAAAGUGUGGGGAGCAAACAGGAUUAGAUACCCUGGUAGUCCACACCGUAAACGAUGGAUACUAGGUGUAGGAUGUGUUAAACAUUCUGUGCCGUCGCAAACGCAGUAAGUAUCCCACCUGGGGAGU
rnacentral:rRNA from 1 species